UAGGCAUUCUUGUCUGACUGUUUCAUGGUGACAUGGCAGGUUGCUGGAGGUAAGUUCCCUGGAAACUGUUUGGGCAAUGGUCCAGGAGAAAGAUCUUUGUCUGUCACUUGUAGCAGCAUGUCCCAGGGACGUGCUCCAGGGUGCCAGGCCUGCUCUGGAUGGGUGCAGCAGGAGACACUGGGAGUAAAGCCUGGCCUUUGGCUCUGCCAAAGACCACCCAGGGGACUGGAGAAAAGAGUGGUUGGUGGCUGGAGCUACAGGCCUGUUGCGUGACAAGGGUGCCCUGGACAGGCUGGCAGAAAGUCAAGCCAGAGACCUAAAAGAGAAGGUCCUGGGGAAAGCAAAGUUACCUUGAUUGCCUUUGACAACACUCAAGUACUUCAUUGGCCCUUCUGCUGCAGAACUUGAACACGUGGUUCUUCAAAUACAGUACUUUCCUCCCAACUCCCACCACUCCACUUUCCUACUAUGACUAUUUCACUCCUCUAUCAACUCAGCUGAAUCAUCAUUUCCUUGGGUCAGCUUUCCUUGUCCCCCCUGACUAGCAAUAAAUGUCCUCCUCAAUCAAGUGUCUUGUCCUUCUCCUUCAUUGGACUUGUCAUAGACGUAAUUUUAUAUUUUUAGGAUUCUCAAGUAAUGUCUUGCCCACUGAAGAAAAAG
rnacentral:lncRNA from 10 species